rnacentral:rRNA from 1 species
CAGUCGCCGCGGUAAUACGAAGGAUGCAAGCGUUACUCGGAAUUACUGGGCGUAAAGCGUGUGUAGGUGGUUGUUUAAGUCUGUCGUGAAAACCCUGGGCUCAACCUGGGAAUUGCGAUGGAUACUGGGCGACUAGAGUGCGGUAGAGGAUAGUGGAAUUUCCGGUGUAGCAGUGAAAUGCGUAGAGAUCGGAAGGAACAUCUGUGGCGAAGGCGACUAUCUGGGCCAACACUGACACUGAGACACGAAAGCGUGGGGAGCAAACAGGAUUAGAUACCCCGGUAGUCCCUGUCUCUUAUAC